UUUGUCAGAUGUCAUUUUUAGUACAAUCUUUCCACGUCCUUGAACCUUUGAACUUGAGGAGUUUCCCAUAAAGAGUUGAUCAUCAUUUUCUACUGGUUUGUAAGUAGAAAACAUCCAUUUGUUGGAACAAAUGUGGCGAGUAGCCCCAGUGUCCACGUACCAUUCUUUAGGGUUUCCUACCAAGUUACAUUCAGAUAUAACUGCAAAAAGAUUCA
rnacentral:lncRNA from 1 species